GUGCGGCCACUGAGUGAUGGGUUGAGCCUCAGUGUGUUCUGGGGUAAAUCACUCAGUGUAAGUCUCAGUUGCUCAGAUGUUAAAGUUAGGAUAGUGUCCCUUCUCCUCUAGGUUGCUGGCAAGAAGAGUGAGAUGGUAGAAGUCCAAGGCAUGGCGAGAACUGGACAGAAGUACACAGCGAUCGCUCAUAAUGCUUCCUCAUCCAAAGGGCCGGCUCAAGCUCUCAACAGAGGAGACAGCCCUGUUCUCUGAGAACUACGAUGCCAGGUGAUGAACAGGAGAGAGGUUAUUUACACAGCAGCCCAGGACGCAGUCCCAGAGGUGUUUUCCAGGAUGGUAUUGCCUUCAAGUCUACCUGCUCCCUGGUCGUCUUCCACGCAGGUCUCAGAAUCAUAACUUUGAUCACAUUCCUUUUCUACCCAGGAAGCUAUCUCAUCAAACCCAAACAAAAGCUCAGAGACUUCGGUGUCCCCCACUGUCAUCUGCUGUGAGGAUCUAGAGCCGGCCUGCCAGGAUGGGUGCUGCCUUUCACUUACUAGCUCUGUGACCCUGGGCCUUUUCUUAGUGCUUCUGCUACUGUGCUGGGCCUGCAAGGGAAUCCGGAAUCCCUGAGACACCCAAGCGAGCUGUGAGACUCAUGCCAAUGUGCCAAGACCUACGCCACUUCCUGCUGUCACUUCUUACCCAUCCUAUGGCCCUGUGCAGGAUCGGUGCCAGGUGAACCCAAGAGACUUGAAAUCUCCUCAAACGAUAUCUCAGAAAAGCAAGGCCUGACUUAGAUGUUUUUAGAUCCCCCCAAACUCCCUUUGGAUGUUGAAAACACCCCAAUCCUCAAGAUAUGAUGUCAAGGAAGCGGGUCAGGAAAGGCCUGGCUAGUCUAACUGCUGCCCCUCUUCCUCUCCCUCCUCUGCCGCUCCUCCUGACCCGGAAGAGCUUUCUGCCGUCCCCUCCCACCUGCGGGAACUUCCAUCAGGUUGCCUACCAUCUUUUCUGCACUGUAGCUUACGGUAAGUUCCGUUAUCAGACCUCCUGGCUCUGCUCUAGUAAUGGAAAAGGAAGACUUUAAAAUUUAGGAUUCCUCAAGAGUCAGCAUGGACCCUGGAGGCCGGGCAGUGGCCCAUCAUCACAGACGGUGUCCCCUCCACAAGAAGAAGCCAUAGCACAAGGUGACUCCCAGGGAAAGGAAAAUACAACAGUUUAAGAUGUUCAUUGGUAUUGCCCUAGCAUACCUACGAAAUAAAACAAGUAUCAUGAUGCUACUUCCGUAUAAUUUGGCAUAUCAUUUCAUACUUAUGAAUACGUAUUUAAAACAAAUGGGAAGGGCACACAGCAAACGAAAGUGGUCUUUCUUGAAUGAGAGGAAUAGACAUAAUUUGCACCUCUUUUUUCGGCUCAAGCAUGUUUCCGAUUUUCUAUAAUUAACAUG